CUGCUGAGUCCUGAGACAGCGCUCUGAGCAGGGCCGAGGUUACAGAUGGAGCCUUUGUAAGGACAGCUGAAUGAAAUUAUAAGUACAGUGCACUGAGACAUUGGAAAGGGGCAGGACUACAGUCAGAAGUACCACUCAACCUAGCUGGGAACCGGCCAGCUCUCUGUUAAGGAUUUUAAUACUCAUGACAGAUGCCACAAGGUGAUGCUGCUAGCCCAUUUUCUACGUGAGGAAAUCCAGAAGUUCAGUGAGCUGCUCAAGCUCCCACAGCUGUCCAGGUCCAGCAGCCAUCAGGGCAGCUCUCUUCUCAAAGAUGUGCAGGGAUCCAGGCUUCCAUGGUGUAGCCAUGCCAUCUGGAGCACGUGGCUUCCAAGAUUGCCAAGGUAUAUCAACAUAUUUUUGGAUAGCAGUUUCAGAAUUUUGGAAGCAGAAUUGAAGUCUAUGAGGGUGAGGACUUGUCAUUGGAUUUAGGGCCCACCCUAACCCAGGAUGAUCUCAAGAUCCUUAACUCAAUUCCAUCUGCAAAGACUGUCUUGCCAAAUAAUUUCACACUUACAGGUUCCGAGUGGAUGUAUUUGGGGGGCCGCAAUUCAACUUCCUACAGCCACCAUCUAGAAAGAACAAAUGGUUACGUCUUGUCAUAUAUACCUCAGAUAUUUUUUAAUUAAAAAA